UGCAGCUCUCCUAUAAUGACUGGCCACCACAGUUGGGGAUAUGGGCAGGAUGACGGUAGGUUAUAGCAUUUCCAUGCUGCAUCUCUCUAUCUUCCCCCACUCAUUUUCUUUCCAGAACUGUUGCCUGAGCCCUGCAGAGCUGCCUGCAUUUUGAUAUCUGCAAGCAUCAAGUAUAUACAGCAGGACCUUCAGAAUGGCACAAGUCUUAUCCUAUUGCCCAAGGGAACCGCCAGUCACCUAUUGAUAUAGUUUCUGCAAGAGCAGUUUAUGAUCCUAAUCUGAAGCCACUUGUUAUCUCCUAUGAAUCAUGUACAUCUCUCAACAUCUCCAACAAUGGCCAUUCGGUUAUGGUUGAGUUUGAAGAUACUGAUGACAAGACAGCCAUCAGUGGUGGUCCCUUUGAGAAUCCAUUUCGGCUAAAGCAGUUUCACUUUCACUGGGGGACAAAGCACAACCAGGGAUCGGAGCAUACAAUUGAUGGCAAACCUUUUCCGUGUGAGCUCCACUUAGUUCACUGGAAUGCCAGAAAAUAUGCAACAUUUGGAGAAGCAGCAGCAGCUCCAGAUGGCUUGGCAGUAGUUGGUGUUUUCUUGGAGAUUGGGAAAGAACAUGCCAAUAUGAACAGACUCACUGAUGCUUUGUACAUGGUAAAAUUUAAAGGAACAAAAGCUCAAUUUAGAAGCUUCAACCCCAAAUGUCUCCUGCCUUUGAGUCUAGAUUAUUGGACAUACCUUGGUUCUUUGACAACACCUCCCCUUAAUGAGAGUGUAACAUGGAUAGUGCUGAAAGAACCCAUCAGAAUUUCUGAGAAACAGCUGGAGAAAUUCCGCAUGCUCCUCUUUACCAGUGAGGAAGACCAGAGGAUCCAAAUGGUGAAUAAUUUUCGCCCUCCUCAGCCUCUUAAGGGGAGAGUUGUUCGAGCUUCCUUCAAGGCCUGAAGAAAACUGAUAAUGGCCCCGAGAUAUCCAAGAGCUUCCACACCUGAGAUACUAUAAACAGAAACUCUCUGAUUUUCAGAUCACUCAUGGAACACACAAGAUGGCCAUUUCCAUGAACACUCUACUCAGAGGGGGACAAUCUUUUAUAUUUUGAAUUGCUCAUUCUUUUGAGAAUGGGAUCUUUUUAACUAGCACUUUUUAAUAUAAGGGAUAGUUGAGUAAACGAGAGUGUUCUCCAAGACCUGAAACACUACAAAUUAAGAAGAAAUUAAAAUCCCACUUAAUAUUAAAUGGGACAUUAUGUAGUGAUCUACUAGUACUGAUGUCCACAACUUCUAAUUCUCUCAUUUAAUACGUGAUGAAACAGUAGUAAAGAAUUUUGGACAAAUGGGACUUAAAUUUUUUCCUUACUGAUCUCUUGGUAGUGUUUGCUUAGCUCUGUCUAAUUUAAAGAUUGCUUUCACUGUAUUCUUGCUGUCUGUUGACACAUAUCAUGCACGUGAGUAGCACUAGAAAAAGUUCUUUACUCACCUCAAGUAUGUACUAGUAUGAAAACUACAUAUAUAUUUUGAAGUUAUUGUUCUAAGAUGAUAUUUUAGAACUAAUUUAAAAUAACUGUGUAAAUGCUGUGUUUAAAAGCAGGCAAUUUUAUUGCACAGUGUUGUUCAGACAUCUCUUUCUUUCAGCCCAUGCAGCAUACAUAACUAAUGCCUUUGUCAAGUUUGAAAAGAACAUCUACAGCAAUUCAGAAAGGGAGAAAGACACUGGAUGUGAAGUGCAGUAUAAGGAAUGGAAGACUAGAAUUCUAGACCUAACUCUUCUACAGUUUUUCUGAUACGCUGACCUAAAGUUUCCUGUUCCUCAGUUUCCUUUUAAAUAAAAUGAGUAACACUGACCUACCUCACAGGGAUGUUGUGAGGGCUAAUUUAGUAUUGUUUUACAUGUGAGAUUCUUAUACAGCAGAUGCUAAAGGAGACAGAAAAUCAUUACAAAAUGCAAUGUUUUU